rnacentral:other from 1 species
GACAGUGAGCCAACUUAUUUGUUGUACUGUAUGCGACGCAGAUUUUGUGUCUUAAUUUUCACGUUAAAGGUAAGUUUGAUGUCAAAAAUUAAAGGUAACGUUAAGUGGUUUAAUGAAUCUAAAGGAUUCGGGUUUAUCACUCCAGAAGAUGGUAGCAAAGACGUAUUCGUGCAUUUCUCUGCUAUUCAGAUUACCGGAUUUAAAACUUUGGCAGAAGGUCAAAAAGUAGAGUUUGAAAUCACUGACGGCGCUAAAGGUCCAUCUGCUGUAAACGUUGUCGCUAUCUGAUUUUAACUCCGUAUUUCGAAAACCCGUUAUUUCAACGGGUUUUUUUUG